GGGGGUGUAGUUCAGUUGGUUAGAACGCUAGCCUGUCACGCUAGAGGCCGCGAGUUCGAGUCUCGUCACUCCCGCCA
rnacentral:tRNA from 6 species